ensembl:lincRNA
AUGAUGGAGGUUGACAUUGUGAAGUUUAUGGAAAUACGUGAAAGGCGAAAAGUAAUUUACUCUAAUAAGGCAUUCAGGAAGCAAUUACCUUUUCAAAUACUAUUAAUAGGAAGCAAGUUGAAAAUGAGCAUGGGAUCAACAUCACACAUGGAAUAUAUUUGUGAAGAGACAGACAGUAUUAUGUCAUACCCAGAGGGGAAAAUAAUCAGAUAUCAACCCUGCAUUUGCUGCAUUAAUCAUAUUUUUGUGACUAAGAGAAAUAAGAAUAGAGCUGGUUAUUAGACUCAUGAUGACCUUGUUCCCAGUCUCCAAUUUUGGUGUGGCAAAUAUGUUCAUCUGUCUGCACAUUGGGUUAUUGGUAAAGUAAGGAUAAUCAUGCAUAAUACUUCCUUAUUGGCUCAGAGCUUUAGAAGGUGAUUUCACAUUUUCUUGUGUUACUUGAAAAAUUGCGUACUAUUCAGGUGCUAAUGGCUCUCCUUGGCAAAGAAAACUAAGACAUACUCUCUUAUAAUUUCAAGAGAAUUUUUAGUGUAUAAUUACAUUAAUAUCUAAAGUAAAUUGCAUCUCAUUUUUACAUCAUAGGAAUUAGGAUUAUUAGCAUUAAGUAAAAUUCAAAAUGUAGGAAUUAAGGAUAUUAUUACUGGGGAAAAAUAACAGCAUGAAAUUUUAAAGGAAGGAUUUGGUUUUAGUUAAGAUAAUGUUACUUCAUACCUGGUAAAAGAUAAUUCAGUAAAUAUUUUUGAAUAUAAAUUAGCUUCUAAUUGAAAAUGGUAGUGAUUUUAAGUGUUGAAGUUUACUAGAAGCCUUUGGGAGAAAUUUGAUGUAUUGAAGAAGUUAAAAUGUAUACAGUUUUACAACCUAUAAGAUGUAUUGCUAAUAUGAUAAAGAAAAAUCUAUGUGACUAUUUUGAACCUUAAAAUAUUUAUAUAAAAAUGGUAAUAAGUGAAAAGAAAAGAAUUAUUUCUGGAGAUUAAACUGAACACUUUAAGGUAUAGAACUGUGUUUUGUGUUUUCUAUCUAUCAGUCUUCAGUAUUGUGCAGGCAACUCAAUUUUAAUGUAUAAAAUAGUCUGGGUGAUGAUACUCAUGCACAACAACCUAUCAGUUGGAUUGGAGUUAAAAGCACUGCACUAAUGUUAUUAAUUUAUAUUUGUUCAUUUAGAAUCAUGUAAAUAUGCUCACAGCUUUUCUGAUAAAACUCUAGUUAAAAAGCCAUAGAUAGUGAGGAAGACAAGGCUUCCAAUUGGAGAAUGUCAAUAUUCUAAAUAUCUCAUUGCCAACAAUUUUACGUGUCUGUCUAUGUCAACUUAGAGAGAAUAGAAUAGAACCUACAUUUCAAGUAAGGUAAGGUAGCACUGACAACCAUUUCUCCUUUUUUUUGUUGCCAGAACAUUAGUCCUGCUUAGGAUACCCAUAUACUAAAGAUUAUAUUUCAAAAUUUAUAUACCAGAGACAUAAUUUUGCUCAGCUAAACCUAUGAUGGCAAUUUCAGUCAUUAUGCCAAUGACUGAAAGAUGAGGAAAAAUCUACAGGGGGAUUUUGGAAAAGACUAUAUUAUUCUCACUGAUAACAAGUAAAAGAUGAGGAAAAACAGAAAGUCUUCUCUUUGUUGGAUUUUUUUUUUACACUUGAAAUUUUGGCAGUCAUUUUGGGAACAUAA